AAUAAAACCAAUUUGCAAUGAUCUAUCAAACGGAGCGUGGUAAGGAUAGCAUUUCAGCUUAUAGCUAAGUGUAUUGUCUUUCAUGCAGCAGUGCUGAGGCUUUAAAAAUCUGUUUUGAACACGAACUCCUGGAGUUAAAUGACCUUCUCCUUGCAGGAAUUUGUUCUGAGGAUUAUGGAUCAGAACCUCCAACAGCUCAGGACCUGGCAAUAUGAACCUUGUAGUGAGUGGGCAUAAAUCUGCUUUGUCUUCCUGCAGAUUGCUGUAAUGUAUUUUCAGUAUCCAGCUCAUCUGAGUCAUGAAGAAGAUAAAGCGUUCCUGUGGAGCCUUCAUGGGAAGAGGCCACAAGCAGCAGAAAGGGGCUGAGGAGAAUGCAGAGAUGCUUCCCAAGGCCAAGGAGAGAGAAAAGCAGGAAAAAAAGUGGGCAGAAAAACUGAAAAGAUACAAGUUGGUAGAGAUUUUAGAGAUUGUUCCCAGCAGGAAAAAGGCAGCUGCAAAGAAGGAUAAAAGCAAAAAUGAGGCAGGAAAUUUGCUGGAGAUGGAAACAAAUAGGAAAAAAGAGGACAGAGAAAGGCCUGCAGAGGAUAUCAUCUAUGGAUUCACUGAGCAAGGAAAGUUUUCUCAAGCUUGCCAUUAUAUUUCUCGUCUGGAGCAGCCUGGAAGUGAUAGUGUGGGAGACUCUGAGUCACUUUAUACUCUCCUGGCUGAACAAAUGUGGUCUGCUGUGAGAAAAGCACUCGAUGGGAGUGAUGGGAUGCUUCUGCAGCCAUUGCAGUCAGUGGGUGAAUCACUGAACUGGCAGAAGCAGAAGAAAGAGGAGCGGCUUAGCAGCGAGCAAGGGAUGGAACCUGCUUCCACCUGGCAUCCAAACUUCUGGGAGAAAGAUCUGGAGAAAGAACUAACACAGUACUGGACAGCCCAGAUUCCCCACUUUAUUCCCACUGGUGACACAGAUGAUACUGCACUAAAACAGCAUCUGAAUCAGCUGGAAACAACAUUCCUCCUCAGCCUGGAGCACAGAAGUGGUGCCUUCAGGAAGGCAGGAUUGCUUAUCCCCUACAGCCGGUGCUGCCAUGCCUCUUUGUUCUCUCACCUUUCCGCCCUCACUGACAGUGAGCACUGUACCUACAGCCAAGGGCUCUUAGUUUAUGAAUGGUGCCUAAAAACAUAUAAAAGGGAAAGUGGGAUGUGGUUGGAACCCAGGCAGAGCUCCCAGCACCCUGAUGUGCAGAGUCUCACGUGGAUGAUUCUGAAAACAGAAGAAAAGUUACUUGCAGUCACCCGGAUGUUAACAGAGAAGAUAAAAGCAGCCCAGCACAUCAGUGAGAACCUAAGGAAGAAGGUGGAAGCUGUAUGCCUGGAGGAGUACCUGAGCUUCCUGGGCAGCUAUGAAAACGAAGUAAGAAACAUUCUCCAGAAUGAUGGCUUCCAAGGGAUCUCCAGCAGCUUGCAAAUCAUUGAGAACUUCAGCAUUCUCAGAACUGUCUGGUAUAAGUUAACGUACCUUUGUAGUGCCAGCACUGAUCAGAAUGCUAAGAUGAAAAGAUUUAUAGACAGGAUGGAAGAUGAGAUUACGGAGCAUUUUCUGAAGACAGUCACUUCUGAAGUCAAGGGAGCACUGAAGGAUCAUUUCAGAAGGAGUGACAGUGGUUUUAAAUACAUCCUUCGAUUCUUAAAGCAAAGCUUUUUGAUGUUUAAGAAGAAAAAAACAGACAAAUAUCAGACCCUUGUCAAAUCUGUGAACAACAUAAUUACUAACGAAUACAUGCAAGCCCUCUGGACCGCUUCCAGGAAAUCGUCUGUGCGGAGCAGGAAGCAGAUUGUCAGCAAGAUGGAAGAAGAUCACAGGAUGCUGCAGACCAUCUUUAAAGAGUGCUUAAGUCCCACAGUUGAUGCUCUCAAGGAUCUCAUCAAAGCAGUUUUAGAACUUAUUCAAGCUCCUGAUGCUGAGGGGAUGAAAAUAGCCCUGAUGUCUGAGCCUGGCCUAAGGGAAGAACAUCUGAACACAGUGUUGGACAUCAAAGGGUCGGUCCGUCAAGAAGACAGAGUUGCCUUAUUGGAGAUAUUUCGUGAUAAUUUUAGGAAAACUGAAACAGAAAGCAACUUGCUUUUUGAAGAUAUAGAAGUAAAACCUGGAAUGUGUAAACGCUGUUGCUGCUUUUGUUGUUAGGAAAGUCAGACCUACUGUGAGGAACAUGAAGUUCUCUCUCCCACAUGGCAGUAUCUGCAGUCACAGCUCCUGGAAAGCUUCAUGGACUUGUGCAGCUGGAUGCAUGAAGAAGCGUGGCAGCUGUGGAAACCAGAAUUCCUGCACUUCUGCAGAAAAACCACAUGGCCCAGAUCCUAAUGUUCUAUGCAAAGACCAGGCAGAAGUUGACUGGGGUAUGGCUGAAAGACAUUCCUUUAAAAUUGCUUAGAGAAUGAUGCUUAGCUGAGUCCUGGUGGUUAUUCCCAAGAUGUGCUAUCAUGGUGUGGAGGAGGGGGAGGUUCCUCUCUGCCGAAUUUCUGUUAUACAGAGUCUCAUGCUUAACAAGGGACUGCUCUCCAGAGUGCCCUAGCAGAUGAUACAGCAUGAUAACCUGCCCAAGGGCUCCCUGUAGAGCCUAGCCCAUGGGAGCAUGGGGCAGCCAUGGGCAUGGUGCAGGAUCCAGCCCCUGUAAGCCUGACCUGGUAGAAAUGUGAGUUUUCCCUUGUCACACCAAGGUCACAAGCCCCAAGAGUGGGAGCAGAAGAUGGCAUUUGUCCUCGUGUCCCUUGCUGGGAUGGCUUAUGGCAGUCUCCUUGUGGGAUGGGGAGCUUUUCAUGUACAAGUUUCUCAGCUGGUGCUGGAGCACUUUUGCAUUCAUUUUCGUACCUCGGCUACUGGAAAUUUCCUCUUGCUGUGUGAAGUAGCUCUUUUGGAGAUGGAGUAGAAGGCCUUGAGGGAAGUAGGCAGUGAAAGGAGCUGUUUGUCCCUGCCACUGGGCAAGGUCUGUGCUGUUUUCAUAUGUAGAUAGGCAGUUCUGCUAAGGAAAGCACUAACUUUCUAGUUAUCUAUGGACUGUUCACACCCUCAAGAUUCAAGGCCUUCCUUUAAUUUAGGUCAUUAUAGACUUGUUCCUCUCUGGCAUAACCUGCAAGUUUGCAAGGCUGGGGCCACGUCCAGCUCCUAGGCUGUGGGAUGUUGUGCAGGUCUGAAUGAGUGCCACCACACUUUGCAGCACCGUGCCAUGCAAACAGCCCCUUUGGGUGUGCCAGCAAUGAAGCCAUAUCUUGGGCUGGCUCUGCAGGGAGGUGGACUCCUGUCACAAUGUGCAGUGCUGUGCUGGGAGUGCUGACAGCCUUGUCAAGCACGCCGGGUCAUUUGUCCUCCCGUGCUGCCUAAUUGCACAUUUUUUCAAGGGCAGGAAGUGAUUACAGCCCCAACUUUGUGACGACGGGAUUAGAGGCAGCCUCCGUUUAUUGGAAUUUCAAUCAACGAACCUUCCAGAGAAAAUAAAUAAAAACCCCUUUGACA
ensembl:lncRNA